GUCACCUGACCUGAAACAUUAAUGCUGAUUUGUUCUCCACAGAUGUUGCCAGACAGGCUGAGCUUUUCCAACAAGUUUUAUUUUUAGAACUGUACUCACUGAAUUUUCUUCAUUUUCUCAAACGCUAACAAGGUUUCUUUGUGAUCUAUAUACUUUAAUCCCCAUGAUCCAGUUUACAUCUGUCUCUGAAAAAGAAAUACAUGAACCCGUUGUCUCACUAGAUACUGAUGUGCCUUGACAUUUGUCUUUACAGUUUUGAACUGUACUUUUGUGAUUCUCAUAAAACUACUCUCACAAGCUGUACCACUUAGAAUAAAACUGUUACUCGGUAUACUCAAAUAUAGUAACAGACGGCACUGAAAAUAAUGUGAUUGUCUAGAAUGAGGUCUAUAGUAGCACCUCUGCAAGAUGAAAGACUGUACUUAAAUACAGAUAUUAUUACUAUUUAGUUUUGAUGAAUCACUCAGCUCUCGCUAAUCUCUUAAACUCCAAACUUGAGACUAAAAAUGUAAUCAAAGUAGCCAAUAAAUAAAUGGUCAGACAAUUUGCUGAAUUCUAGAUCUCAAAAUCCAAAAUCCACCCCAUCGUCACUGUUAAGCUAUCAGAUUGGAAUGUCGUGGUGGUGGUACUCUUGAAAAAUGUUAAAUAAAUUAGAAUGUGUAUAAAUAGAAUACACAGCAGACUGAAUUAAUCUAUGGAAAAACCAACCGCUGGUAACACAACCAACAUAACUGACUUAACCCUGUGGUUCUGGUGAUUAUGUGGCUAAUACCUCAAGUGGUUCAUUUUUCCAUAACCUGUAUCCUUUGUGUCUGUGUUUGCAAUAGCCCUGAAGAUUUAAUGCAGCUAAAAUAAUUCAACUGUAUUUAUCGUUCAUUCAAAUAAUUAUUGCAAAUAUAGUUGUCCCAUUCUUUACUUAAGCAUUACCAUUUGAAUCAGACAUUAUACUUCAAGUAGGUCAGUGCCUGUAACAGUGCAGCAAUUUACCAGACCUUCCAUUCUUACGUACUUCAAGAGAUGGUGUGCUUAUCACUGUGAAUGCUAUACCCAAGAGAUAAAGGCAAGUGGCUAAGAAUAUUCAGAUUUCAUUAUUGAUGCACUAAUCUUUGAAUAUUUUCAAAGUCAAGGGUAUUUUAGAUGAAAAAAAAUGUAAAGACUUAAUUCAGAGUAAAGACAGGAAGGAUGCUGUGGUUCAGCUCACAACAUGGAAACUAACAAUCGCUGUGAUCAGUUUCCAUAAUUGCAUCAUACUUGCGUUAAUCCCUAUUUGACAUGAACUAGUGAUUUGGGGUGGCUAACAUUUAUGUCUAUAAGUUCUAAAUUGUUUCAUUUGGUGUGAGAAGUAACCAUGCCACAGAUUAUCAACUUUAACAUCGACUGUAAUACUAAGCAAUGUAAGUACAUCAGUGUAGCGAGGAUAAACUGGAAUCUGUUCAUUGAGAAAGAUGCAAAAUUGGAAACCUGAGAUAUCCAGUAACCAAUGGCUGUGAAAGGAUUGCUCUAUCAGAGAGUUGUCUUAUGUCUUUACUUUAUAUAUGUUGUAUUCUUAUAGUAACCACCUUGCACUAAAAAAAGUUUUAACACUACAGUGCUUUUCUGUACCAUAUAGCUUGCUUGCACUGUACAUCAAAUUUUAUUGUAUUUAUUAUAAAAUAUCUACUUUUAAAUAAUUACUUAAAGAAUAUCAAAAAUACAUUGACAAGCCUCUUUGGGUGUAAUGGAAAAUUCACCACAAACCAUUCUAUAAUUGGUAAACAGGAAAUGAGUUUACUGUAUGAUAGUAUAAAGUAGCCAGUUCAAAGCAUCAGGGUCUUUUGGAGACAUAACGCAAAGGACACUGCAGUGUGCAUAUAUUACUUAGUACUUAUUUCACUCUUUUGUGGAGAUUGUUAAAGGAAUACACAGGUAAAUAUGGUUAGGUGCUUCGAGAAUCCUCUCCUUGCAAGCUAAGCACUGCAGCCUUGAAUAAAGAUGAAGGCUAGCCUUCAAACUGACCAUAACGGCAAUCGACCCCUUUCAGGACCAUGGACAGCACUCAACCCGCCGCCGCUGUCCGAUCAGACAUUUUUCAUCUUCCAAUUCAUCCCAUCCAUAGGGAACUGCAGUGAAAAUAAUCAGAACAGUGAAUUUUGCAACUCGACAACCGGGAAACGUAUUCUUACGUCAAGGACCACGAACUCCGCCAUUUGAUUGGCGUCACUGUUAGCUAAACUCAUUUAGAAAUGGCAAAAGUCACUUAGGGAAUGCCUUGAUUUCUACGCUCUAGCACGCAUUACUUUCACUUGGGACACAAGCUCAAAGACAUUGCGAAAGUUGUAGCACUUUACUUCUAUAUAAAUGUCGCAAUUCUGCUGCUGCCCAUUUGGAAUCACAUCCUUCCAGAACUUGGAUUGAGAGGGAAAUCAGUCAAGAAUAUUCAAUAACUCUCGAAGUCAGCACUAAUCCCAGACCUAGCUUGACAGCUUGUCAGGAUGAAUAAACUAGUCUUGGCAACAUCCCUAUUUGUGCUCGGUUUUCUUCCCGCGAAAGAGUCGCAUCCGAUAAUGAACAGUCACCGAUUUGACUCCUACAGCAGUGCAGAGCCAGGGCUGGACCUGCAGCCAUGGGAUCACAGCCUUCGCCUUCCAA